rnacentral:rRNA from 1 species
UGGGGAAUAUUGGGCAAUGGGCGAAAGCCUGACCCAGCUAUGCCGCGUGAAUGAUGAAGGCCUUAGGGUUGUAAAGUUCUUUUAGAUGGGAAGAUAAUGACGGUACCAUCAGAAAAAGCUCCGGCUAACUUCGUGCCAGCAGCCGCGGUAAUACGAAGGGAGCAAGCGUUGCUCGGAUUUAUUGGGCGUAAAGGGUGUGUAGGCGGUUUGAUAAGUUAGAUGUGAAAGCCCAGGGCUUAACCCUGGAAUUGCAUUUAAGACUGUUGAACUUGAAGAUUGGAGAGGUUAGCAGAAUUCCCAGUGUAGAGGUGAAAUUCGUAGAUAUUGGGAAGAAUACCAAUGGCGUAGGCAGCUAACUGGCCAAAUCUUGACGCUGAGGCACGAA